rnacentral:tRNA from 1 species
CCCGGUAGAGCACUGCUCUUAUAUGAGUAUGCUCCAACGUCCAAAUCUCGGCCAGGCCAUAAUUUUAAUAAAGU